UUCUUCUUUUCUGCUGCUCUUUUUCUUUGCUGGCUUCUCCCUUAUUCACGCGCCGUGGAGGUAAAAUGACAACAUUUCCUUAGCUUCAUUGAGAUCCCUCCCUUUACAUGAUCUCAAGGUUUUUUGGGUGAAGUUCUGGUUUUAGUUGACCUACUGUUCCUUUUUUUUCCCCCCUGUUCUUACUGUCCAUUAUCUAUCAAUUUCUUUUGUGCUUGCUAACCCAUACGACAGUUAAUGCUUGAUUGAUAAUUGAUAGAGCCAGUUUCUUCUCCUUUCUUUGUCAAUUUCUUUUGCACUUACUUUGAGAGUUAGUAGAGGGAUGGGUUAUACCUAUCCUGCUAUUCAUGCUUUGUAACUACCAUUAGCCCUCUGCUUGAUUGACAAUUAGUGGAAGGAUAAGUUGUUUGAGGCGUGAUUUAUGGUGGAAAGCAGGUCUUUGCAUUUCAGGCUGGAGGAAGCAAGCCUUGGCCUUGCUGCUGAAGGAAAUGGAAGGGCAAAAGAAACAACCAUAUGUUUUUCCUUUUAAUGUAUUGAUUGACACUCUUUGUAAGAAAGGGUUAGUCUCAAAUGCUUGAAAUCUAUUAUUUAUAUAAAUGCAACAUUUGAUAAAUAAAAAUCCCAGCUAUAAAGGAUAAAUUUCAAUAACUAUCCCUGAACUUAUAUGGUUGUAACACUACAGUCCUUAAACUUUAAAACUAACAUAAAACUCGCUAAACUUUUAAAUUUUGCAUAGUAAAAUCUCUCUAACUUUCAAUUAAUGAUUUUUCAGUUGAAAACUGAUGUGAACAGCUCCCGCAUGGCUCUUAAUCAACAUUUCUCUCUUCUCUCUUAUUCAAAUUGUAAAAUUAUUCUCUCUGCACCUGAAAAAUUAUUUUGUUUAUAGUGAGAAAAAUGAUUUAAUUUAGACAUAACUUGAGAGAGAAAAGAGAAAUAUUGAUUAAGCUCCACACCAGAACUGUUCAAGUCAGCGUCUAACUAAAAAACCGACAAUUAAAGGUUAGAUGAAUUUUACUAUGCAAAAUUUAAAAGUUGAAGGGGUUUUAUGUUACAUUUUUAAGUUGAAGGACUAUAAUGUUAUAAUAGAUAAGUUCAAGGACUGUUGUCAAAAUUUAUCUCAGCUAUAAAUGCCCUCAUUUCCUCA